UGUGAUGCUGCUCACAGGUUGUCCUUUGGAUCCUAGGUCUCCCUGUGGUCCUGGCAACCCCAUUCCACCUCUGAAGCCUUUCUUCCCAAGAGGUCCACUCUGGCCUCGGAGACCCCGCUCACCCUGGAUGAAUGAAUCAAUGAACAAAAGACAAGUGAGGACAACUCAUGGGGCAGCUAAGACUCCAUCAAUCCCUGGUGCACCCUCCUGUCCCUCUCGACCCACCACACCUCUGGGACCAGAAGGACCACCCAGACCCUGAAGAGAAGAGAGGCCUUAUCAGAGAUCUACACCAAGCGGGAUAAUUUUUCAUCCGUCUUCACAUACAAUUUUACUGUCCAUAUUGUUCUAUUUAUGACUUUUUUGAUUAAUCAUUUCCAAGUAUACUUGGCACGGAUACAAACAUUUUAAAAGUUAUGAGUUUAACACUGUAUGGAUGUGGAUGUAAAAAGAAUCAUUGUCCUA